rnacentral:rRNA from 1 species
GACAAAAAAUAUCAAUGCUGAGCACAACGUGUUUAGUAAUUGGAAUGAGUACAAUUUAAUCCCUUAACAAGUAACAAUUAGAGGGGCAAGUCUGGUGCCAGCAGCCGCGGUAAUUCCAGCUCUAAUAGCGUAUAUUAAUAUUGUUGCAGUUAAAAAGCUCGUAGUUGAAAUUUUGGAACUUAAUGGGUUUCUUCCUACUAGGAUUCGAUUCUGUCCUUAACUGGAUGGAGUAGUCAUCUCUCGGGGUGAUCAAUUUGUUGUUAUAUCUCCACUAAUGAGCGGAGAGGGGUAAAACUCUCAAAGUAAGUUUUGUGGGUCAAGGUAUGAUGAUGAAUUGGAGUUCUAGUUCAUUUACUUUGAGAAAAUUAGAGUGUUUUAAAGCAGCCUCUUGGGGUCUACUGAAUACAUUAGCAUGGGAUAAUAGAAUAGGAUCUUUACAAUAUAUUUUAUUGGUUUAAAUUGAA